rnacentral:rRNA from 1 species
UACGUAGGGGGCUAGCGUUGUCCGGAUUUAUUGGGCGUAAAGAGCGUGUAGGCGGCCAGAUAGGUCUGCUGUGAAAACUCGAGGCUCAACCUCGAGAUGUCGGCGGAAACCAUUUGGCUAGAGUCCGGAAGAGGAGAGUGGAAUUCCCGGUGUAGCGGUGAAAUGCGCAGAUAUCGGGAAGAACACCCGUGGCGAAGGCGGCUCUCUGGGACGGUACUGACGCUGAGACGCGAAAGCGUGGGGAGCGAACAGG